AAUCUCAUCUCUUCCAAUCACCAUCCAACACCUCAUCAUUUCCUAUUCAUCAUCUUCUUCAAUUUACUAAUUCCACUUACCAUUCUUCAUCCAAUUUUCAACUAUCAACUUCUCUCUCUAACAAAACUCUCUCAACUCUCUCCAAAGCUCUCAAAAACUCUCAUUUUCGGAACUCCGUACCAGCAGCCCGUCCCAAGGCCGAAACGGGCAAAAAACGACCCAAUUUUCCAGCGAUCGCAUCCCGGCCCGACCCAAACCUCAAGCAAACUUCAUACCCCCUAGUUCUCGACCUCCCGGGUCCAUUGGUGAAGUUAUUUUUACCAUUUGGAGCCUCCUCAAACCCCGUUUCAGCGCUGCCCAGAACUGAACCUUCAAGCUUUCUUCCUUUUCUGGCGUGUCUCCUCCUUCCACGACUUAGGGACCAGUGGCCUGAGCUUAGCCUCCAUCCCCACCGUGGACGCCUAAGGUGUUGGGAAUCACCGUGCACAGUAGUCGGAGUCACCUUCUCCUUCCCUUUCAACCUGGUUUACCAGAGAAGCUCAUAUCGGGUCCCCCCUGACCAGCCCCUGUAACAGCCUACUCCCAGACUCUUUUGAGCUUCUAAACCACCUCAAACACGCCCCGAGACGCAGGUAUAACUUCCUUACCUUUAGAGAUGUAGGCCUUUUAGGUUUCAUCACAUUUGUGAGGUGAUAAGGCAGUCCCUGAUCGACAAUAUGCAUGUUUAUGUUUAGCUUGCUCCCAUCUCAUUUAUUAUGUGUGCAUAGAGUUGUGAUGUAUGUUAGCAUAACAGGAAAAAGGUGUAGUUGAGGUCGAGAAGAUUAUUGCGAGGGUGGACUCUUGCUCCUUGACUUAGUCGGUUUCCCGUGCUUAAUGUUUUUUAUGUCAAGAGUCGGUGUUGUUUUAUCGAUUCCGUUAAAUAUUAUAUUUGUGUAUGUUUGCAUGCUUGUAUAUGUUUCUAAGAGCAUGGCGGCACUGACUUUGCAAAGUGUAUGGUAUUGUCUUGUUUGAUGUUUUAUACAUGCGAGAAAGGGCUAAAAUCGAGAUGGGAGACCAUCCAAGACCCGAGUCAGGUCAAGGUCGGUUCUUCUCUUGGAGAGUGGCCGAGAGCUCUUAACUUCCCUCACAGGUCAAGGGUGGCCUCCUUUCCUAGUUGAAGGUCGAUUCUCGGAUCGGUUGUAAUCGUAUUUUCCAUUUUGUCGUUAAUUAGACAAUAAUUGCAUGUUAAACGGGUUAGUUUAAGUAA